AUCUCCAAUGCUCUAGAGCAAGGUUCUUCGAUGGACCUCGCCCUCGCCUCACUAUCGAUGAAGACUGGCCUGAUACAACAAUAAAUAAAUCAUUAGUAUGAUAGCUAUCCAAAUAAAAGAAUCAAAUUUUAUUAUAUAAAAAGUAUAAUAAUACCACUCAGAUCUGUCUUACUGAGACCUGCCUCAUUGGGACCUACCAGUGCAGGACCCUCUGACAAUAGAGCUGGUGCGGCAAUGGAGAUCGAUGAAGGUGCCUCAACCUCCGGGGU
rnacentral:lncRNA from 1 species